GUCACCGCAAUCCAGCUCCCCCCCCCACACCCCCACUGGAAUCUCGCGAGAUGGAUGGAGUGAAUGAAAGUGGGAAAAUAACAAUACGAGACGAAAAAGGAUAAACAAGUCAACGCGAACAAAAGCACCUCCACAGCGUUGCUCUGGCAACAGGAAAAUUGCAACGCUGCAUGCAACAGCAAAUGCAGUGGUAGGAUGCAGUCCUAGAAGUCCAGGUGUGGAGUCAGGUGAUCACAGUUUUAGAGGAUAUUUUGAAGGUCUCUACACUGGGAAUUACUGACAUGUCACCUGGCUGAAAUGUCACCCGACAUCUGAUGUCAUCCGGUGUGCACCUUCUCAAGAGGAAAAUCGGCAAGAAGACACAAAGCCUAAAGGGCACCAUGUUGUUGUCUAAAAAAAACAACAACAACCAUACAACAGCCAGGAAAGGUGUGGAUUGGACGUUUCAAGCAUCAACCAAUCAGCUUUGUGAGAAACAUCAUGUUGGUGCAUGCUUGAUGCAUACAGGGUGUGCCUUUAAUCACCAUUUAGUAGGCUACAAAAUUUCCCCACAGGUUUCAGGCUUCGUUGAGGUACAAGUAUAUGGAUGACAGUAAGGUCAGUUAUAGAUUAAUCCCUAGUACACCCCCCGAAGCACUGCAGAAAACUGUACGAAAGCACAGAGCAGGAUCAGGGGUUUUUCAAGUAAAAGGAACAUGCGGCAAAGGAAAAGAAAACAUGACAAAUAAUGACAACUUGUGGAAUUAUAUGUGGAAUAAAAGCAUGGUAUCAAACAGACACACAAUUUACUUCCUUGCAUAGCACUACUUUGUGCCAGAAGAACUGCAGGAGCUAGCUCACAACCACACUCCUUUAUUCAGGAAAAUGGGAUACAGAGAAUGAAGAAUGGAACAGUGCCCUCUACUGGCUAAGCCACACUGUCAAAGAAACACUAUAUCGUCUAAUGAUAAAAACGUUUGGUUGCCAAGAAUCGAUGACAAAAAUACGACACAAAAUAAAUUUUUGAAUUUUUUUUUAAAAACCUGAUGCUUUUGCGCAGACUGAAAACAUAACCCAUGAGGAAAGUUUGUCCAUGAGGAAAAUGAUUCAAGAGUCAUUUUGACAGUAAAAUGUUCAGCAUUAAAUCAACUCUGAAAGAGUACAUUUUACUCUUUCAGGAGUACAUUUUACUGCAAUAGAGUACAUCUAAUCCCUUUUGGCCUCAUGUAAACUCUAUCAGAGCUGAAUUAACACUGAGGAUUUUACUCUGCCGGCAGUCACCGGGGAAGUGGCCAUCUCUCCCACCCUAACACCAGCAGGCUUUCUGGGAGGUUCCAUUGGCAUCGCAUUCACCGCUUUCCUCUUCCUCCAGGGCGGCGAUAUUGAGCUCGUUGUUGAGCGACACGCGCAGGAUGUCCAGCUCUUUGCGAUUGGCCUGCAGUACCAGCUCCGUCAGGCGAAAGAAGGACUAGGGAGAUGGACAAAUCAAACGCUGCACUCAUUACGAGCAGGAUGCUGUGUAAUAUGUUAAAAUAGGACAAGAGAAGAGGCAUACAAUUUAUUCUGCAGGGAAAAGAUCCCAAUGAAACUGAAAUGCUGCCUUUGGCAACGACCACUGGAUUUGGCUUCAUUUAAAGUGAGAUCCUGUAAAAUCAAGCAGAACACAGAAUGCAGUACACCCCUGUUAUGAUAUUUCCUGACAUACUGCUUAAUUUCAAAUUAAGUCAUUAAAUAGAUUAAAAGGACACGUGAUGGAUUAAAUAUUCUGCUUUUGAGUCAGUUUUAUCUUUAACCCUUUUCUGUGUGGUCUGGCCAGAUCCCACUGUAGCCUAUGCUUCAGCAGUUUCCAUGGAGAUAAUCUGGUAAAUCUUUCUUGAGAAUCCGAACAAAUAUGUUGGUACGUGAUAUGUUGGUUAAGAGAUGGCCUCAUAACAGGUUCUUUGACCAGUUUAAUUCAAUAUGGAGGAACAGCAUGAUCUAGCCAGUACACAGUUAGUUUGACAUACCUACCCACUUCCUAAUAAUUGAUUUGACUGUGCACAAAUCAAUGACUUUUUAAAAU